AACGAACGCUGGCGGCAGGCUUAACACAUGCAAGUCGAACGCCCCGCAAGGGGAGUGGCAGACGGGUGAGUAACGCGUGGGAAUCUACCCAGUUCUACGGAACAACUGAGGGAAACUUCAGCUAAUACCGUAUAAGCCCUACGGGGGAAAGAUUUAUCGGAAUUGGAUGAGCCCGCGUUGGAUUAGCUAGUUGGUGGGGUAAUGGCCUACCAAGGCGACGAUCCAUAGCUGGUCUGAGAGGAUGAUCAGCCACACUGGGACUGAGACACGGCCCAGACUCCUACGGGAGGCAGCAGUGGGGAAUAUUGGACAAUGGGCGAAAGCCUGAUCCAGCCAUGCCGCGUGAGUGAUGAAGGCCCUAGGGUUGUAAAGCUCUUUCAGUGGGGAAGAUAAUGACGGUACCCACAGAAGAAGCCCCGGCUAACUUCGUGCCAGCCGCCGCUGUAAGAC
rnacentral:rRNA from 1 species